GACAGGAGACAAAGGAGUUGGCUGAAGUUCAGGAAGUAGUGCAGCUGUGCAUAAAGCCAAAUGCAGUUUAUAAGUGGUUGACAAGUGGUGAUUUUAGCUUUCUUGUACACCUGUCUUAAAAUGUAAGGGACACUGGAGCUUGGUUGGGGUGGUGGGACUGCUUGCGCCGGGCGCCAAAAAACUUCCCUUAUUUUCAAAUCCGAAACUUGACAGGUAUGCUCAAAUCCAGGGUGAAAGCCUGUUCACUGGAUGCCUGCUCUACCAAUUGGGCUAAAGAGCAUUUCUAUACUAAAUUACUUCUUCCUCUCUCUAGGUGAACAGUGGGACUCCAGCUUCAAGUGGAACAGCUCUGACCUGUAUGGUGAUCAAACCUGGAGAGGAGAGACACCUGGUCCAACAAGGUGAUGGACGGUUGAAAGGACAAAUCAUCAAGACGAACAAGACGAGCCAAACAUUGGAGACAAGCAGCCACAGGAGCCUGAAGGAGAAGUAACAAGAGCAGCCAGAGCUGAAAGUGUGGGCAAAGGAACAGGCUGCUGGGGAUGAGUUGGAAGACAGUUUCCUAAACCGAAUCCUGAUUUCCUGUUAUCAGGUUUUGUGGAUUCACAAGUUGUCUGGUUGGUGCUCGGCCCAGGACAGGAAGGCUCUGCAGCAGGUAAUCCAUCCAUCCACAGUGACAGUGGAGAGGUGUGGUGAGGCGAGAGACUGAGUUAUAAAUCUAAUGCUGAAUCUGUAUCACAGAGACAUCAUAUUGUUAAACCAGAACUACAAUUUCUUGAGGCAUAGACACCUUUAUUUGACAGUUGAUAGCUCAGAAAGGGGAGAGAGAUGGGGGGUGUGACAUGCAGUACAGGUCCUCCAGCUGGAUUUGAACCAUGGUCCACUGGGUAUGUGGCAUGCGCCAGGUUUUGAUUUGACACGUUUUUUGCAGUUGUUAGAUGGAAUAUGUUCUAAAAGUAGUUUGACAUCAUCUUCAGAUUUGUCGCAGCUCAAACACUGACCCACGAGUUACACAUCAAUCAAAAAAUAUGAUUAAAUAUGUUUUUAUCAGCUUUGAUUUUUGUUUGACUGCCAAAGAUCUGUGAUUGUGAAACAACAUUAAAUAUUUUUCCAGUGUUAUUAAGAGUACUAUGCAUGUGUGAUGGGAGAUUCAAGCUGUAAUUUUCUACUUCUUUUUUAAUUCAGAUUUUUGAAACAAAUAUACAAUUGUACAUAUAAUUCAUAUUUUGGUUUGAGGAGAUAAAACAAAAAGACUAUUUCUGUUUGAUACAAAAUACAUUAAAAUAUUAAUAUUAAAGUUUAUUGAUACAUGAAAGUUUUAGAUUCUUAAAACGUAUUACAGUUCCUUAUUUAGUAGGAAGGGUAAUUAACAACAUACUUAUAGAUCUAUAUACUUAUAGAUUGUUUUAUUUUUGUGAGCUGCAGCAGCCUUACUGUUUCUGUAGUUCUGAUCGUGUCUCAAUGUUAUAUCUUUUUUGGAAGUUAUAGGAUUAUAAUUGUUAACGUUAUUUAACUUCCGUUUCAAAAUGUCCAGGUGUGGAAACCUAGUGUGAUGGCAGAAUAAAUGGAACUCAGUGUUAUGGAGCUUUGGGAGGAACUGUGGUCCUCCGGCUGAUGGACAGCACCUCAGGAAUACUCGGAUACCAUUGGGUCAAAAACAAAACUGAAAUACUCAGUGGGUUAAGGGAUGAUAUUCUAUUUAAUCAGUUAGAAACUCGAUCCUCAUUUACUCCCAGUGAUGAAACAUUUAGGAUCAGUAACCUGAGCAGGACUGAUGGUGGUGAAUAUACUCUAAUAACUAUUCAUUCAAGAUGAAGACUGUUAGAUCGUCAGAUUCUACUGCUGAACAUUCAAGGUAAAUAACUUUUUUUGCUUAUUGAGGAAAUUAGUGACAUUGAUCAACAUAAAUAUAUUCUUCACAUAUCAGUCUGUCCUGUAUCAGAAACUUUACAGAAUGACCAAGUUUUUCAUGUUUACAUGUAUCUAAUUUUCUACAUAUAUCUGUAUCGAUGGCUGUUAGAAACUAUAGAAAUAUAGACUGACCAGAAUCAUCUAAAGUGAUGUGAGUGUGUUUCCUUCAGCUCCUGUGUCCUCUGUCCUGCUGGUCUCUGAGUGUCUGGCCCAGGGAGAGAUGAGGGUGUCCUGCUUCUCUGAGGGAGGGGACAGUCCUCAGUACAGCUGGACUCUGGAUGGACACACACUGACAGACGCUCAGCUCCUCUAUGGAAGUAAAGACAGUAACAACGUCACUCUGAGACAAGAUGUCUCAGGACAACUGGUCUGCUCAGUCAGCAGUAGCGUCAGUCGAGUCUCCAAGGACGAGACGAUAUCUACCUGUGGCUUUGUAGUCAUUGAGCCAGCCAAUAACACCCUGUGUUGAGUCAACAACAGCCCGUACCUUGACCACUGAGGAUAAGGAGCCUGGCAUGACCAUGAUCACAGUAAACAGAGAUCAGUCCCUGCUCAUCUGUGGUCUGCGAAUAGCUGUGAUGAUUCUCAUUUUAAUUGGUAUCGCCAUCUAUUUCAUUUGGAAGAAGAAGAAAUAUGAGAAAGCUGAAGGCUCUGCCGUCCCUGAAGAGAUGGACUAUGAGAACUCUGUUGUGAUGGUUCAAAUGAGAAGUUCUGCAUCUGAACUUUAGCUUUCUGAACCAACAUCUCAGUGUCGCCUCUCAGCUGUUGGCUCUGUGUCUUCAGGAUGUGAAAAUAGUGUUUAGAAAGGAAAUUCUCUUCUACUUUUUCAUAGAACAAAUGUUAUAUAUUGUAACCCUAGUUCUAUGAUCAAUGGAGUGGAGCCAUCUGACUUAAUACAUUUGUGACAUUUUUGUUUAUGUUUUGGAGGUGAAUGUUUUUUGCUUUUGUAUUGGUACUUGUCUCAGUUACUCUGUAAAUUGUAAAAAUUGUGAUUUUUGCACCCAUAGCAUGUCUUCAACAUUGUCUUUUAAAGCCCAAAGUGUCAUUUCACACCACGAGAGUUACUGGCAUAUUAACAAAAUAUGAUUCAGGUCAUUCAUUCGCACUGAUUUAAUAUCAAAAUAAUGUUUUUAUGUUUUUUAUGAUACUAGUGCAUUGCCCGUAGGAAGCAUGUGUUCCUAUAGAAAAGUGGGAGGUUAAGUAGCUUUUUCAUGGAUGGCCAAAUGAGGUUGU